rnacentral:rRNA from 1 species
AUGAACGCUGGCGGCGUGCCUCAUACAUGCAAGUCGAGCGAACAGACGAGGAGCUUGCUCCUCUGACGUUAGCGGCGGACGGGUGAGUAACACGUGGAUAACCUACCUAUAAGACUGGGAUAACUUCGGGAAACCGGAGCUAAUACCGGAUAAUAUAUUGAACCGCAUGGUUCAAUAGUGAAAGACGGUUUUGCUGUCACUUAUAGAUGGAUCCGCGCCGCACUAGCUAGUUGGUAAGGUAACGGCUUACCAAGGCAACGAUGCGUAGCCGACCUGAGAGGGUGAUCGGCCACACUGGAACUGAGACACGGUCCAGACUCCUACGGGAGGCAGCAGUAGGGAAUCUUCCGCAAUGGGCGAAAGCCUGACGGAGCAACGCCGCGUGAGUGAUGAAGGUCUUCGGAUCGUAAAACUCUGUUAUUAGGGAAGAACAAAUGUGUAAGUAACUAUGCACGUCUUGACGGUACCUAAUCAGAAAGCCACGGCUAACUACGUG